rnacentral:rRNA from 1 species
GAAUAUUGCCCAAUGGAGGAAACUCUGAGGCAGCAACGCCGCGUGAACGAUGACGGCCUUCGGGUUGUAAAGUUCUUUUCUCAGGGAAGAUAAUGACGUUACCUGAGGAAUAAGUCCCGGCUAACUACGUUCCCGCAGCCGCGGUAAAACGUAGGGGACAAGCGUUAUCCGGAUUUACUGGGCGGAAAGCGCCCGUAGGCGGCUUGAUAAGUUGGACGUGAAAGCUCCCGGCUUAACUGGGAGAGGACGUUCAAAACUGUUAAGCUAGAGUGAGGAAGAGGAGAGCAGAAUUCCCGGUGUAGUGGUGGAAUGCGUAGAGAUCGGGAGGAAUACCAGUGGCGAAAGCGGCUCUCUGGUCAUAAACUGACGCUGAGGGGCGAAAGCGUGGGGAGCGAACGGG